CAGUCGCUACGGUAAUACGAAGGGUGCAAGCGUUAAUCGGAAUUACUGGGCGUAAAGCGCGCGUAGGUGGUUUGGUAAGAUGGAUGUGAAAUCCCCGGGCUCAACCUGGGAACUGCAUCCAUAACUGCCUGACUAGAGUACGGUAGAGGGUGGUGGAAUUUCCUGUGUAGCGGUGAAAUGCGUAGAUAUAGGAAGGAACACCAGUGGCGAAGGCGACCACCUGGACUGAUACUGACACUGAGGUGCGAAAGCGUGGGGAGCAAAUAGGAUUAGAUACCCGCGUAGUCCCUGUCUCUUAUAC
rnacentral:rRNA from 1 species